rnacentral:rRNA from 1 species
CCCGAUGGAGGGGGAUAACUACUGGAAACGGUAGCUAAUACCGCAUAACGUCUUCGGACCAAAGUGGGGGACCUUCGGGCCUCACACCAUCGGAUGUGCCCAGAUGGGAUUAGCUAGUAGGUGGGGUAAUGGCUCACCUAGGCGACGAUCCCUAGCUGGUCUGAGAGGAUGACCAGCCACACUGGAACUGAGACACGGUCCAGACUCCUACGGGAGGCAGCAGUGGGGAAUAUUGCACAAUGGGCGCAAGCCUGAUGCAGCCAUGCCGCGUGUAUGAAGAAGGCCUUCGGGUUGUAAAGUACUUUCAGCGGGGAGGAAGGCGAUGGAGUUAAUAGCUUCAUCGAUUGACGUUACCCGCAGAAGAAGCACCGGCUAACUCCGUGCCAGCAGCCGCGGUAAU